rnacentral:rRNA from 1 species
UACGAAGGGGGCUAGCGUUGCUCGGAAUUACUGGGCGUAAAGCGCACGUAGGCGGCUUUCUAAGUCGGGGGUGAAAUCCUGGAGCUCAACUCCAGAACUGCCUUCGAUACUGGAGAGCUUGAGUUCGGGAGAGGUGAGUGGAACUGCGAGUGUAGAGGUGAAAUUCGUAGAUAUUCGCAAGAACACCAGUGGCGAAGGCGGCUCACUGGCCCGAUACUGACGCUGAGGCGCGACAGCGUGGGGAGCAAACAGG